GACCCGGGAGCUGGGAACCCGCAGCCUGGGGACUCCUCCGGCGGGGGCGCUGGGGGCGGGCUGCCGUCCCCUGGGGAGCAGGAGCUGAGCCGGCGCUUGCAGCGCCUGUAUCCCGCGGUCAACCAGCAAGAGACUCCGCUGCCGCGCUCCUGGAGCCCCAAGGACAAAUACAACUACAUUGGUCUCUCCCAGGGCAACCUCCGCGUCCACUACAAAGGUCAUGGCAAAAAUCACAAAGAUGCAGCCUCAGUGCGUGCCACCCACCCCAUACCUGCUGCCUGUGGCAUUUAUUACUUUGAAGUGAAGAUUGUCAGCAAAGGAAGAGAUGGUUACAUGGGAAUAGGACUCUCGGCUCAAGGCGUCAACAUGAACAGACUUCCUGGUUGGGACAAACAUUCCUAUGGUUACCAUGGUGAUGAUGGGCAUUCGUUCUGCUCCUCGGGGACUGGCCAGCCCUAUGGUCCCACAUUCACCACAGGAGACGUGAUCGGCUGCUGUGUCAACCUCAUCAAUGGCACCUGCUUCUACACCAAGAAUGGCCACAGCCUUGGUAUAGCCUUCACAGACCUCCCGGGACUCACUCUUGUCACCAAGGCUGGGUUGCAGUGGCAGAAUCACAGCUUACUGCAGCCUCAAUUUCCUGGACUCAAGCCAUCUUCCCACCUCAGCCUCCCAAGUAGCUG
rnacentral:sRNA from 1 species